CAAUAGCGUAUAUUAAAGUUGUUGCGGUUAAAAAGCUCGUAGUUGGAUUUCUGUCGAGGACGACCGGUCCGCCCUGUGGGCGUGCAUCUGGUUCGGCCUGGGCAUCUUCUUGGAGAACGUUGCUGCACUUGACUGUGUGGAGCGGUAUCCAGGACUUUUACUUUGAGGAAAUUAGAGUGUUUCAAGCAGGCAUACGCCUUGAAUACAUUAGCAUGGAAUAAUAAGAUAGGACCUCGGUUCUAUUUUGUUGGUUUCUAGAGCUGAGGUAAUGAUUAAUAGGGACAAUUGGGGGCGAUUCGUAUUGACGAGUCAGAGGUGAAAUUACUUGGAUUUCGUCACGACGAACUACUGCGAAAGCAUUUGCCAAGGAUGUUUUCUAUUGAUCAAGAACGAAAGUAAGGGGAGUCGAAGACGAUCAGAUACCAU
rnacentral:rRNA from 1 species